GCUGGGUGUGCUGGUGCACACCUGUAAUCCAAGCUACUUGGGAGGCUGAGACAGGAGAAUCGCUUGAACCCAGGAGACAGAGGUUGCAGUGAGCUGAGAUGGCACCACUGCACUCCAGCCUGGGCGACAGAGUGAGACUCUGUCUCAA
rnacentral:SRP_RNA from 2 species